GCUUUUAAUUUCAGUCUAAUUCAAGUCAGCAGCACAGGGCAGCUCCUGGGAAAUUGGUUUACACAUGCGGACAAGCCCAGUAGCCCAGAGCUAACCCACUCACCAUCCCUGACCACAGAGGAGCAGAUAAGGAAGCAAGAUUUGUCGGCAGAGCUAUGACAAGUUCCACUGUGGAUGGCAAGGAAAUGAGGGGGCAGCAACCUGUUAAUGAGACUCAAGAGUGUCAAGACCCAUUUUUGUUAUCUGGAUUUUCAAGGCCGAGUUCAAACAUGAGGAUCCUGGAAAGGUUGGCAGACGUCUGCGGAAGCUACCCUCCCUGUU
rnacentral:lncRNA from 1 species